GAGCGUGUAGCUCAGUAGGAUAGAGCGGCCGCCUCCUAAGCGGCAGGUCGCCGGUUCGACUCCGGCCACGCUCACCA
rnacentral:tRNA from 1 species